rnacentral:lncRNA from 13 species
UAAUUAAAACUUUCUUUUUGGUCCUUAGGUAGAAAGAUGGCUCUGCUGAGAUGAGCUCUUAAUUAAUGCACUGAGAGCCUGCGAGUCCCACCUCUCAACAGGAAUGAUUGACGUCCAAGGAUACAUAAAUUACACUAAUUGAGCUCUGCCUCUAUAUAGGCUUUCCACAGCCAACUCAUCAGAGAAGCUAGGUCAUUAGCCGAGGUUGAGGAUUGUGGAGAAGCUCUGAAGAUACAGAAAAAUUCAUGAAACUGUGAUUGAGGAGGGAGAAUAAACAGAGUGGGGAAAUAAUACGAAACCCCAGAAGAACAAAAGGACUGUGGAGGCUUGUACCACAACCAGUAUCUCUGCUUGGCAACCCUAAUGAGCAAACUGCCACAAAACUGAGAGAUAACACACCUUUUUGGUAAGUAGCUUACAAAUUUCUAAAUCCGAUGGUAAGCACAAAGCUAGUGUUUAUGCCUCCAUUUUGUUUAAAGUC